rnacentral:rRNA from 1 species
CAGUUGCCGCGGUAAUACAGAGGGUGCAAGCGUUAAUUGGAAUUACUGGGCGUAAAGCGCGCGUAGGUGGUUUGUUAAGUUGGAUGUGAAAUCCCCGGGCUCAACCUGGGAACUGCAUCCAAAACUGGCAAGCUAGAGUAUGGUAGAGGGUGGUGGAAUUUCCUGUGUAGCGGUGAAAUGCGUAGAUAUAGGAAGGAACACCAGUGGCGAAGGCGACCACCUGGACUGAUACUGACACUGAGGUGCGAAAGCGUGGGGAGCAAACAGGAUUAGAUACCCCAGUAGUCCCUGUCUCUUAUAA